GCUCCACUAGCGUAUAUUAAAGUUGUUGCAGUUAAAAAGCUCGUAGUUGAACUUCUGUGUGGGGCUAGUUGGCUUCGGCCUGGCUAGUUCCAUACAUCCGCUUGCAAGACCUAGAGGGCAUUCACUUGUCGCUAGGAGGAGUAGGCUGUUUACUUUGAAAAAAUUAGAGUGUUUAAGGCAGGCAAUCGCCGCAUAUAUUA
rnacentral:rRNA from 1 species